AUUGACCUCUGGCGGCAGGCCUAACACAUGCAAGUCGAACGCGUGGCGGACGGGUGAGUAAUGUCUGGGAAACUGCCCGAUGGAGGGGGAUACCUACUGGAAACGGUGGCUAAUACCGCAUCCAAUCGGAUGUGACCAGAUGGGCUUAGCUGGUAUGUGAGGUAACGGCGCACCUAGGCGACGAUCCCUAGCUGGUGUCAGAGGAUUACCAGUAACACUGGAACGGAGGCACGGUCCAGACUCCUACGGGAGGCAGUAGUGGUGAAUAUUGAACAAUGUGCACAAGCCUGAUGCAGCCAUGCGGGGUGUGUGAAGAAGGCGUGCGGGUUGUAAAGUACUUGCAGCGGGGAGGCGGUACCCGCAGAAGAAGCACAGGCUAACGCCGUGCCAGGAGCCGCGUUAAUUC
rnacentral:rRNA from 1 species